rnacentral:rRNA from 1 species
UACGGAGGGGGCUAGCGUUGUUCGGAAUUACUGGGCGUAAAGCGCGCGUAGGCGGACCUGCAAGUCGGGGGUGAAAGCCCGAGGCUCAACCUCGGAACUGCCUUCGAUACUGCGGGUCUCGAGUCCCGGAGAGGAGAGUGGAAUUCCGUGGUGUAGCGGUGAAAUGCGUAGAUAUCAGGAGGAACACCGGUGGCGAAGGCGGCUCUCUGGACGGUGACUGACGCUGAGACGCGAAAGCGUGGGGAGCAAACAGG